GCAAGUCGAGCGAGGUACUUGUACCUAGCGGCAGACGGGUGCGUAACAUGUGGGAAUCUACCUUUUGGUUCGGAACAACAUGGGGAAACCCGUGCUAAUACCGGAUAAGUCCUUACGGAGAAAGAUUUAUCGCCGAAAGAUGAGCCCGCACUAGAUUAGCUUGUUGGUAAGGUAAAAGCUUACCAAGGCAACGAUCUAUAGCUGAUUUGAGAGGAUGAUCAGCCACACUGGGACUGAGACACGGCCCAGACUCCUACGGGAGGCAGCAGUGGGGAAUCUUGCACAAUGGAGGAAGCUCUGAUGCAGCGAUGCCGCGUGAGUGAAGAAGGCCUUUGGGUUGUAAAGCUCUUUUGUCGGGAAAGAUAAUGACUGUACCCGAAGAAUAAGGUCCGGCUAACUUCGUGCCAGCAGCCGCGGUAAUACGAAGGGACCUAGCGUAAUUCGGAAUUACUGGGCGUAAAGCGCGCGUAGGCGGUUAAGUAAGUUAAUUGUGAAAGCCCAAAGCUCAACUUUGGAAUUGCAAUUAAAACUACUUAGCUAGAGUUUAUCAGAGGAAAGCGGAAUACAUAGUGUAGAGGUGAAAUUCGUAGAUAUUAUGUAGAACACCAGUUGCGAAGGCGGCUUUCUGGGAUAAUACUGACGCUGAGGUGCGAAAGUAUGGGUAGCGAAGAGGAUUAGAUACCCUCGUAGUCCAUACCGUAAACGAUGAUUGUUAGAUGUUGGAAAUUUAUUUUCAGUAUCACAGCUAACGCGUUAAACAAUCCGCCUGGGGAGUACGACCGCAAGGUUAAAACUCAAAUGAAUUGACGGGGACCCGCACAAGCGGUGGAGCAUG
rnacentral:rRNA from 1 species